AUUGAACGCGUGGCGGCAUGCCUAACACAUGCAAGUCGAACGGCAGCACGGGGGCAACCCUGGUGGCGAGUGGCGGACGGGUGAGGAAUGCAUAGGAAUCUGCCCAGUUGUGGGGGAUAACGUAGGGAAACUUACGCUAAUACCGCAUACGACCUACGGGUGAAAGAGGGGGACCUUCGGGCCUCUCGCGAUUGGAUGAGCCUAUGCCGGAUUAGCUAGUUGGCGGGGUAAGAGCCCACCAAGGCGACGAUCCGUAGCUGGUCUGAGAGGAUGAUCAGCCACACUGGAACUGAGACACGGUCCAGACUCCUACGGGAGGCAGCAGUGGGGAAUAUUGGACAAUGGGCGCAAGCCUGAUCCAGCAAUGCCGCGUGUGUGAAGAAGGCCUUCGGGUUGUAAAGCACUUUUGUUUGGGAAGAAAUCCGGUUGGUUAAUACCUGAUCGGGAUGACGGUACCAAAAGAAUAAGCACCGGCUAACUUCGUG
rnacentral:rRNA from 1 species